rnacentral:rRNA from 1 species
UGCUCUAGUGCUUCACUUAUAUCUUUUUAGAGCACAGUGGUGGUUUUAUUUUAUAGGAAUUAUUGAUCUCUCAUGCUUCACUUAUAUUAUUUUGAUAGUCUUUUAGAACAGCAUGGUAAUUUGCUUUGGUUCUAAAAUUAGUCCUAAUAUGAUGGGCAUCCAAGAUGGGUAUAAUAAAAACUUUCAUAUAAAGUGCAUUGAAUACUAUGAGAAGUUUGAUUCUUUAUGAU